CUGUAGAGCAUAAUAUAAACAAAGCGCACCACUUGCGAGUAAUUUGACGUUCGCAAUACUGCUAGAGUUACACGAAGAAAGAAGAAGAACUACGUUGUGUCAUUGUUGAUCAAGAUCCUGGGGAGAUGCUUCGAAGGCUGUAUUCUGUGCCUGUACAGCACUUAACAAAAUCAGUCCGCAGUCAGUUCACCAGUGCUCAGACUAUUGAUGUGGAGUCUCUUGUCCCCAAUGAGUACGAGGCACCUUGUAUGAAGACACCUGUUCCGGGCCCCAGAUCAAAAGCACUAUGUGCCGAUCUGGAUGAUGUCAAUGCUAAUAUUGGCCAUGUCCAUUUCUUUGUGAACUAUGAAGCCAGCCGGGGGAACUACAUUGUGGAUGCAGAUGGCAAUGUUUUGUUGGACCUGUUCACACAGAUCUCAUCAGUGCCACUUGGUUACAACCACCCAAACCUUAUUCAAGUCAUGAUGGAUCCCAACAAUAUGGCCAGUCUUGUAAACAGACCAGCAUUCGGUAACUUUCCUUCCACUGAUUGGCCAGAGACUGUGAGGAAUGCACUUAUUUCUGUGGCUCCCCCUGGCAUGAGGUAUGUUCAGCCAAUGAUGUGCGGGGCCUGCUCCAAUGAACAUGGCUACAAAGCUAUCUUUAUGGCAUAUCAGCGCAAUAAAAGGGGCGGACUUCCACCUACCCAAGAGGAAAUGGACUCUAGUGUCCACAACAUGUUGCCAGGUUCUCCUAAACUGUCCUUGCUGUCCUUUACCAAUGCAUUUCAUGGCAGAACUACAGCUUGUUUGUCCAAUACACACACAAAAUGGUUCCACAAGUUGGACUUCCCAACAUUUGAUUGGCCAUGUGCACCUUUCCCCAAGCUUCGCUACCCACUUGAAGAAUUCCAACGUGAGAAUGAUGCAGAAGAAGACAGAUGUCUGGAACAGGUCCAGGAUUUGAUGGAGAAAGCUGAAAAGAAAGGUGAACCAGUGGCUGGCAUUGUGGUAGAGCCAAUCCAGGCAGAGGGAGGAGACAACCACGCCUCUGGAAGGUUCUUCAGGGAACUGCAAAAAAUAGCUAAGAAGAAUGGCGCUGCUCUUAUGAUAGAUGAGGUGCAGACAGGCUGUGGACCAACUGGAAAAUUCUGGGCACACGAGCACUGGGAUCUCCCUCAACCACCAGAUGUCGUUUGCUUCAGUAAGAAGAUGCAGACAGGAGGGUUCUAUUUCACUGAAGAGAUGAAACCAACAUCAGCAGAUAGUUACAGAAUUUUCAACACCUGGAUGGGUGACCCGACCAAGCUUCUUCUCCUCAGAGAGGUGAUCAAUGUGAUCAAGUCCCAGAACCUGUUGGAGAAUGUGGUUGUUGCAGGGGAACAUCUCCAAGGCGGAUUGUCAGGACUUCAGAGAGCACAUCCAAAUAAGUUAGAAAACUGUAGAGGCCUGGGAACGUUUGUAGCAAUUGAUCUCAGAAAUGGGAAGAUGAGAGAUGAAGUCGUGAAAUCCUUGAGAAAUGAAGGGUUUAUAGUUGGUGCUUGCGGGGAACGUAGCAUCAGAUUCCGACCAGCAUUGGUUUGUCAGAAGCAUCACAUCAGCAUGUUUCUGGAUCAAUUUGAGAAGGAAAUACUCUCUCUACCAUGAAGAACAGGUUCUUCCAUCAAGAGAAUAUACCGGUACAUUGAGUAAAAGAUUAUUAUUAUGUGGAGAUUGAAACUAAUACUUUUGGNGUUUAUCACUAUUGCUAUAAUUGAAAAGGCACCAGAAGUAAAUCAAAGUAUUACUAAAUGAAUAAGGAAUGAAGUUAUUGUAUAUUUUGUUUUUAAGUGUGCAAUUUUAUGUCGAAGCAGUGGAUUUGGCUUGGGCCUUUCAAGCGUUUAUCCCAUUUAUGUAAUAAAACUGUUUUUGAACUGUAGAAGUUUAUUUUUUGUGGGUGAUUAAAACAUCAUACUAGUGUAUUAAUGAUCAGUGUUUUAUGUAUGUCUUUGUUCAACACUUCCUUGAAGAAUACCUAAAAUGCACAAAUAGGGGCCUGUAAAGUUAGGAUUUCAAAAAUGAAUACACAGUGUGUACAUGGUUAUCUAUGUGAGAUGUAUGUAAAAGUUAAAAUUAAAAAAUACAGCUAUUUUUUUAUGAGAUAAAAUUAUCUUUGUUUGUAUAUGGUAAAUUAGUGAAUAUCAUUGAGAAAGAUUUGGAUAGAAAUAUUUUGUCCUUAAAAAUCAUUUUGUAAUAUAAGUGACAUUAUUAGAAGAAAAUCCAAUGCACUUUUUAGCAUCUAAUUAUUUCCUACCAAAUGCAGGAUGUUAUCAACUGUAAAAUUAUUUUUUGUCAUAAAGGAAUUUACUAGUAUCAUUUCAAAAUAAUCAGCAUAACAUCAUCAUAUUGAUGACAAGUGUAAUAUACCUGUGGACUAAUUGCAUUAAAACAGAAUUCAUCCUACCUUUAUAUGCUUAAUUUUUAACUGUUUAACUGCAACAAUAAUUCCACAUCGUAUUUAUGAUAUCAAGUUCAUGUACAUUGAAAAUUCCCCAUGAUAUGCAUUUAGUAUAAGAUAUAUGUAUUGGGUUUAAUUUUUUAUAUACUGAUUAUGUAAAUAAA